AGUGAACGCUGGCGGUAGGCCUAACACAUGCAAGUCGAACGGCAGCACAGUAAGCGCUUGCCCUUACGGGUGGCGAGUGGCGGACGGGUGAGGAGUACAUCGGAAUCUACUUUUUCGUGGGGGAUAACGUAGGGAAACUUACGCUAAUACCGCAUACGACCUACGGGUGAAAGCAGGGGAUCAUCGGACCUUUCGCGAUUGUAUGAGCCGAUGUCGGAUUAGCUAGUUGGCGGGGUAAAGGCCCACCAAGGCGACGAUCCGUAGCUGGUCUGAGAGGAUGAUCAGCCACACUGGAACUGAGACACGGUCCAGACUCCUACGGGAGGCAGCAGUGGGGAAUAUUGGACAAUGGGCGAAAGCCUGAUCCAGCCAUGCCGCGUGGGUGAAGAAGGCCUUCGGGUUGUAAAGCCCUUUUGUUGGGAAAGAAAAGCAGCAGGUUAAUACCUCGCUGUUCUGACGGUACCCAAAGAAUAAGCACCGGCUAACUUCGUG
rnacentral:rRNA from 1 species